rnacentral:miRNA from 1 species
CGAUGUGACUGAUGCAGGCUGA